AGUCCUGUGGUCUAGUGGUAUGGUAUGUGAACGAAUAUCUCCGCUAAAGUGAACUCAAAGCUAACUGAUCAACCGACGUUCGCCUCACAAAACGCUCUAAAAGCUCGCGAAAGGUCUCGGGUUCGAUCCCCGGCGGGACUA